UACAGAGGGUGCAAGCGUUAAUCGGAAUUACUGGGCGUAAAGCGUGCGUAGACGGUUACAUAAGUCGGGUGUGAAAGCCCCGGGCUCAACCUGGGAAUUGCAUUCGAGACUGCGUAGCUAGGGUGCGGAAGAGGGAAGCGGAAUUUCCGGUGUAGCGGUGAAAUGCGUAGAGAUCUCCAAGAACACCCGUUGCGAAGGCGGCCGACUGGACACAUAUUGACGCUGAGGCUCGAAAGCAUGGGGAGCAAACAGG
rnacentral:rRNA from 1 species